UACGUAGGGGGCAAGCGUUGUCCGGAUUUAUUGGGCGUAAAGCGCUCGCAGGCGGCUCGAUGCGUCGUGCGUGAAACACCCCGGCUCAACUGGGGAGGGUCGUGCGAUACGGUCGGGCUGGAGGCCAGUAGGGGGAUGCGGAAUUCCGGGUGUAGCGGUGAAAUGCGCAGAUAUCAGGAGGAACACCGGUGGCGAAGGCGGGUCUCUGGGCAGUAACUGACGCUGAGGAGCGAAAGCGUGGGGGAGCGAACAGG
rnacentral:rRNA from 1 species